GCGCCAGUGGUGUAGUGGCGUAGAGCAUUCCCGUCUGGUCACCACGAGGUGCGGGUUUGAAUCCCGCCCGGCGCU
rnacentral:tRNA from 1 species